rnacentral:rRNA from 1 species
AUGAACGCUGGCGGCGUGCCUAUUCCAUGCAAGUCGAGCGAACGGACGAGAAUCUUGCUUCUCGGCUGUUAGCGGCGGACGGGUGAGUAACACGUGGCUAACCUACCUAUAAGACUGGGAUAACUUCGGGACACCGUAGCUAAUACCGCAUGAUAUUUUUAACCGCAUGGUUCAAAAGUGACUGACGGUCUUGCUGUCACUUAUAUAUGGAUCCCCGCUGCAUUAGCUAGUUGGUAAGGUAACGGCUUACCAAGGCAACGAUGCAUAGCCGACCUGAGAGGGUGAUCGGCCACACUGGAACUGAGACACGGUCCAGACUCCUACGGGAGGCAGCAGUAGGGAAUCUUCCACAAUGGGCGAAAGCCUGACGGAGCAACGCCGCGUGAGUGAUGAAGGUCUUCGGAUCGUAAAACUCUGUUAUUAGGGAAGAACAUAUGUGUAAGUAACUGUGCACAUCAUGACGGUACCUAAUCAGAAAGCCACGGCUAACUACGUG